UACUCUCUAGUUUUAUAUUUUUAAUUUUCUACUCCUACGAUUGUUAGUUGCAACACACCAAUGCCAGUACUAGAAUCGAUCGGAUUAGCGGCGCUGGGAUGGGUGGCGUCUCCACUCUUGAAGAUGCUGCUCGACGAAGGCUUCGCCAGCUUAGGCAUCAACGCGGAGAAGAAGCUGGACGAGAUGGAGAAGACCGUCCUCCCGGUGCUGAAAUCGGUGAUCGAGAAAGCGGAAGACAGCGCGCAAGACAGCGCGCCCCGGAGCGAGGUGGAGGGCUGGCUGCAGAGGCUGAAAGACGCCUACGACGGCGCGGAGGACGCGCUGGACCUCCUCCGCUACGACCGCCUCAGACGCAAGGCGGCGGCGGCCGCAAGGAGGAGCAGUGGUAAGAGGCCAACUUAUAAUCCGGUACGUUCUUCUUCCUUUUUUCACGUACCAAAACCUGUGAAAUGGGUGAUAAAAGGCGGCCGGGACAUGCUGUCGCUUCAAAAGAUCAAGCUGAAGCGAAGGCUGAACAAGCUGAAAAACAUCGCCGGAGAAGCCAAGGAACUCAGCACUUUGUUAGGCGCCCAGCCUGAGACAGCAGACAGCAGGCAGACCAUCGCAGUGCCUCCCCAGGAAGUGUUCGGCCGCGACGAAGAUCGCGAAGACAUCAUUCGGCGUUUGAAAACAGAACCUGCAGCAGCAAUUCGCGGGACUGGAUCAUCAUCGGGCAUCCCUAUAAUUGCCAUAGUUGGUCGCCCGGGGGUCGGGAAGACUGCUCUUGCACAGUACGUCUUUGACCAGUUGAGGAGCGAACUAGGCGACAGACAACAUUUUGAUCUCGUCAUGUGGGUCUACGCAUCUUGCAAUUCCAACGCAUCCGAAAUUAUGAAAGAGAUCAUACAACGGGCUUCUAUUGCAGGUGAGCCUCAAGAUCUUGGUAACCUUAGCUCGCCUGAAGCGCUGCGGCUGAAAAUGAACGAAAAGCUGAACGGGAAGAAGUUCCUGCUCGUGAUAGAUGAUGUUUGGUGCGACGGGGAAGACCACGAGAAUAGUUGGAAAACACUAAGAUGUUUAAGCAAAUGUUGUUGUUUGCCGGGGAGCAAGAUUUUAGUUACGUCUCAGACGGACGAUGCGCCGAGAAAGAUUGCUGCUGCUGUUGGUGCUCCUGUAGAACACAUUGUCCCGUUGGAAGAUAUGGAAGAGAAUUACUUUUCGGAUCUUUUCAUUCACUACGCAUUGCCUAGCGGGGAAAUCAAUUCUCGCUUGAGAAAAGAUUUAGAAGAGAAAUGCAAGACAAUUGCUAAGAAGUUGAACAAGGACCCUACGGCGGCCGAGAUGGUCGGCAAGACGAUCGCUACGGAGAUGGCUCGCCUCUUUCGUUCACAAGGUAAUUUGCAUGCAUAUUUGGAAAGGAUUGCACAAAAGGACUGGUCUGACGACAAAACCAAAGCAAUGAUGUGGGGUUAUCGGCAUUUGCCUGCACAUCUUCAGCGUUGCUUCUCGUACUGUAGCAUGUAUCCUAAAGGCUACGAGUUCGAAGCUUUAGAACUGGUCCAUCUCUGGAUAGCGCAAGGUUUUAUCAAGCCGGAUGAUCAGAAUAAGAGAAUGGAGGAUGUAGGCAAAGGUUACCUUGAAAAGCUGGUGUCCAGUUUCUACAUUCAGCCUCAUAACAGAAUCCACUACUCCUCUGGGACAUAUAAGAUUGUCCGCUACUAUAAGUUGCAUGAAUUGUUGUAUGAUCUAGCAGAAAAGGUUACUCGCAAUUAUUGUGUUAGAAUAGAAGGUAAUCGUCAAAGCGAGAUCCCGUCAACUAUUCGCCAUCUGUGCAUACCGGCUAACAAACUGAACGAGAAUAAGGAGGAAAUUUGCAAACUAAAGAAACUCCGCACCCUAAUAGUCACUAAAGGAGAAAGCGUCACCUCAAAAGAACAAGUUGCGACCGACAUCUCCAACAGCUUAAAAAAAUUCAGCUUAAAAAAAUUGCGCGUGCUGGUUUUGGAGUUAAAUCUAGAAAAUUUGGCAAAGGUUAUAAGUGGAAUGAAGCACCUUCGCGUCCUACAAGUAUCAAGUACUAGUGAGUUUGUGUUGCCGGAGUCGGUGUGUACUCUGUAUCAGUUACAAGUGCUGCGAAUAAAAAGCGCUAGCUCGCUUCCUAAGCGUCUUAAUAACUUGGUUAGCUUGAGGUAUCUAGAGGCAAAUUCUGAUAUAAUUUCGGCGAUACCUGACGUUGGCAAGUUAACUUCCUUGCAAGGCCUAGAAAAUUUUCCGGUGAGAAAGGAAAAAGGAUAUGAGCUAGAGCAACUACAGAACUUGAAUGAGCUUCGAGGAUGCUUGCGUAUUGCUAAUCUUGAGAAUGUUGAGAGCAAGGAGAGUGCCAUUGCAGCCAAUUUGAAAGAAAAGAAGCAUCUUGAUAUGCUCCAGUUGGUAUGGCGCGAUGGUGAGGACAAUGUAAAUUCUAAUUUGGAUGUUGAAAUUCUCGAGGGCCUCCAAUUGCCUCCCUAUCUUACCAGCCUGAUGUUAGAUGGGUACCGAGGACGGUCAUGUCCGUCUUGGCCCGAAUAUCAAACACGCAAUAUUCAAAAACUUGCGCUGAGGAGGUGUGGAAUGCUUGAAGAGCUCUCGCGAAUGGACCAGAAUUACCCUUCUUGCGGAUCACUUGAGCUCUCGCAUCUUUCUAAACUUAAAGCAUUACAUGCCCUUCCCCCACAGCUUACAAUACUCAUAAUAGAAAAUACACCGUCUCUCGUCUUUGUAACAAAAGAAGACCUGCAUAUGAGCCCAGCCGACAAGAGAUCCAUAAUAGAGGUCAUGAGGAAAAGGAUGCGGAAAUGGUUUUCCCACCAAUAUCAAGAGUCCUUACUCAACGAUGAAAAAGAAAUGAUGAAUUGCAUAGCCUCAAUGAAUGACUCCAACAAUAAUGAAGCUAGCUCUGCAGAGCAUAAUAAGAGUGUGCCUGCCGCCGACGUGGCUAUUACCGAUGACUGGGAGAGAUGGUUGGAGAUUCACGAGCGAAAGAUGGAAUUGAUUUACAACAGACAAAAUGAGGCCAAAUUGCUUCUGCCCUCUACCCUUACCGAGCUCUGGCUUAAGGGAUGCAACAUUACUAACCGCGCAUUGUCGGCAAGCCUACAAACUCUUACCUCCCUCACCCGCUUGUCGCUAGAAGAGAUCAGAACAGUAACCUGUCUGCCAUCUGAAGAUGUCCUCGGCAAGUUAACAUCACUCCAAGCUAUAAUUCUGCGAGAGUGCUGGGCCGUCACUUCGCUGGGUGGUAUGGGAUCCCUCCCUUGUCUCAGAGAUCUCUUUCUAUUUGGAUGCCCCUGCUUGGACAGUGAAACUACUUUCCUGCCGUCAUCGUUGGAGAUUGUCACUUUUGCAUCUUGUGCAGAUGUAGAUGUAAUCCUAGCCAAUGCAGAUUUGCCAUGUCUAUCUGAUCUUAUGAUUACUCAUUGUCGUAUGCGAACAGCAUUGUUACAGUUUGGCGACCUCCGAUCUCUUCGCUCCUUGAGUAUUAGGCAUUGUCCUGGGCUCUUAUCCUCGGUGGAUGUGCAGGAACUGCACUCUCUAGAAUUUCUCAUUCUGCAUAACUGCUCGAAUCUGGAGGCAGUGAUGAAUUUGCCCAGGUCACUCAAGAGUUUAGCAAUACACGGAUGUCCGAUUUUAGAGAAGGAAUCCGUAGAAAUUGACCCCCUUUCGGGCAGGCGUAUGCUCAACGGCAUCCCUGUAGAAGACAGCUUCGAACAUGCUCCGUAAUGUGGAAAAAAGUGUGUGGAUGCAUUCACUUCUGUACUCAUCCUGCACUUCUAUGUAACUGAUGGGCUUUUUUUAACUUCUGAAGAUUUGGGAAAAAAAAGGUUUAUUAAUGGGUAUGUAUAUUGCUGUUGUGUGGAUUGCUAAUUGUUGUCAAACAGUUGGUUUGGCCAUCCAAAAGAAAAAAAGCAAAAAAAAAAAAAAAUAAAAAAAAAAAAAAAAACAAAAUAAAAACAUAAUAAAAAAAAUUGUUAAUGGGCAUGCUAUUCUAUAUAUAUUGCUAUUGUGUGGAUUGUUAAUCGGUGUUGUGAAAAAGGGAUGUGCUUGGUGUGCAUUGUGGUCAUUAAAAUGUAUUAUGUUUUCAUCUUUUUCUGUCUUAAUGUAUUAUUAUGUUUUCUACACUGUAAACUAAAGACCCUGUAAACUUGAAAUUUAUGUCAUGAUUGUAUGUGGAUUUGGGUGUUUUAAUUU